rnacentral:sRNA from 1 species
AUAGAUGUGAAGAAAUAUUUGUAUAUCAUAAAAAAGUUCAAUGAUUUUAUGAAACAAAAUUCAUUCUAAUAUUUAUUCAAAUAAUUAUACAUAUAUUAACACAGUUAUACAUCUUCAUCUUCUACUUCAUCUUCGUCCGAGGACGAUAAAUUACAUCGGAAUUCGUCUUCUGGUUCAGCAUCCCCGACAUCGUAAUCAAGGAUUAUUGGGUUUAAGUUGGCUACCGGAGUUUCAAGAACAAGAUCUUCAAUUGUAGUGAGCAAAACAUCAUCAUCAUUUUCUGUUUGCAAAAGAGUUGGAUCAUUGUUUUCAUAUUCUCCAGAAAUGUUUCCCCUCGGAUUGACUUUUAGAACAUUGAGCCAAAUGUUCUUUGGUUUCUUCGUAUAUGGAUACGGAAUAUAACAAACUUGAUCUGCUUGAGAUCCUGUAUACAUAUAUCAAAGAUAGAUUAUUAAUAAUUAAAAAAGAAACAUAUUUUGGACUUAAGAAUAAUUACGUACCAAGAAUAAAUGGCUCGUAUUUAUUGUAUUUCCUCGUAGAUAGAAUGUCUACAACGCCACUAUGGCUUCGUCGAGUGCCUCUCCCGAUCUUUGGGUCAUACCUCUUACACUUAAAAAGUGUGAUCCUCAAAUUGACGAUACCCUCAUACUCGAGUUCUAUAAUAUCAGUUAAGGUACCGUAGAAAUCCGCUUCAUCUGAUGAAUCAGCGUAAUUUUCACCUUUAACACAGACCCCAUAGUUACAUGUCUUUCGUCCAGCGCCGUGAUUUUGCGUAUGAAACAAAUAUCCUCUUGUGAAAUACAUUGGCCAAGUUUUAACCUUGUUCAAAGGUCCUUGCACAAUCUCUUGAACCCAAGUAGGAAAUGGAGAAGUAGUGUUCCAGUAUGUUACCUACAU